rnacentral:rRNA from 1 species
UACGUAGGGUGCAAGCGUUGUCCGGAAUUAUUGGGCGUAAAGAGCUCGUAGGUGGCGGGUCACGUCGGGUGUGAAAGCCCGGGGCUUAACCCCGGGUCUGCAUUCGAUACGGGCUUGCUAGGGUCCGGCAGGGGAGACUGGAAUUCCUGGUGUAGCGGUGAAAUGCGCAGAUAUCAGGAGGAACACCGGUGGCGAAGGCGGGUCUCUGGGCCGGUACCGACGCUGAGGCGCGAGAGCGCGGGGAGCGAACCGG